rfam:Otolemur garnettii contig105519, whole genome shotgun sequence.
UCCAGGCGUUGUGGCGAGUGCCUGUAGUCCCAGGUACUCGGGGGGCUGAGGCAAGAGAAUCACUUGAACCCAAGAGUUUGAGGUUGCUGUGAGCUGUGAUGCCACAGCACUCUACCAAGGGCAACAUAGUGAGACUGUCUCAAAAAAAAAAAAAAAGAGAGAGAGAAUAUUUUCUUUCUUUUUUUGAAACAAGAGUGUCACUAUGUUGCCCUGGGUAGAGUGCUAUGGCAUCACAGCUCACAGCAACCUCCAAGUCUUAGGCUUAAGUGAUUUUCUUGCCUCAG